rnacentral:rRNA from 1 species
AAUAAUCCUGUAGUCGAAAAUGUUGUCUCUCUUGAGUGGAUCCUGAGUACGACGGAGCACGUGAAAUUCCGUCGGAAUCUGGGAGGACCAUCUCCUAAGGCUAAAUACUCUCUAGUGACCGAUAGUGAACCAGUACCGUGAGGGAAAGGUGAAAAGCACCCCGGAAGGGGAGUGAAAUAGAACCUGAAACCGUGUGCUUACAAGUAGUCAGAGCCCGUUAAUGGGUGAUGGCGUGCCUUUUGUAGAAUGAACCGGCGAGUUACGAUUUGAUGCAAGGUUAAGCAGUAAAUGUGGAGCCGUAGCGAAAGCGAGUCUGAAUAGGGCGUUUAGUAUUUGGUCGUAGACCCGAAACCAGGUGAUCUACCCUUGGUCAGGUUGAAGUUCAGGUAACACUGAAUGGAGGACCGAACCGACUUACGUUGAAAAGUGAGCGGAUGAACUGAGGGUAGCGGAGAAAUUCCAAUCGAACCUGGAGAUAGCUGGUUCUCUCCGAAAUAGCUUUAGGGCUAGCCUCAAGUGAUGAUUAUUGGAGGUAGAGCACUGUUUGGACGAGGGGCCCCUCUCGGGUUACCGAAUUCAGACAAACUCCGAAUGCCAAUUAAUUUAACUUGGGAGUCAGAACAUGGGUGAUAAGGUCCGUGUUCGAAAGGGAAACAGCCCAGACCACCAGCUAAGGUCCCAAAAUAUAUGUUAAGUGGAAAAGGAUGUGGCGUUGCCCAGACAACUAGGAUGUUGGCUUAGAAGCAGCCAUCAUUUAAAGAGUGCGUAAUAGCUCACUAGUCGAGUGACACUGCGCCGAAAAUGUACCGGGGCUAAACAUAUUACCGAAGCUGUGGAUUGUCCUUUGGACAAUGGUAGGAGAGCGUUCUAAGGGCGUUGAAGCAUGAUCGUAAGGACAUGUGGAGCGCUUAGAAGUGAGAAUGCCGGUGUGAGUAGCGAAAGACGGGUGAGAAUCCCGUCCACCGAUUGACUAAGGUUUCCAGAGGAAGGCUCGUCCGCUCUGGGUUAGUCGGGUCCUAAGCUGAGGCCGACAGGCGUAGGCGAUGGAUAACAGGUUGAUAUUCCUGUACCACCUAUAAUCGUUUUAAUCGAUGGGGGGACGCAGUAGGAUAGGCGAAGCGUGCGAUUGGAUUGCACGUCUAAGCAGUAAGGCUGAGUAUUAGGCAAAUCCGGUACUCGUUAAGGCUGAGCUGUGAUGGGGAGAAGACAUUGAGUCUUCGAGUCGUUGAUUUCACACUGCCGAGAAAAGCCUCUAGAUAGAAAAUAGGUGCCCGUACCGCAAACCGACACAGGUAGUCAAGAUGAGAAUUCUAAGGUGAGCGAGCGAACUCUCGUUAAGGAACUCGGCAAAAUGACCCCGUAACUUCGGGAGAAGGGGUGCUCUUUAGGGUUAACGCCCAGAAGAGCCGCAGUGAAUAGGCCCAAGCGACUGUUUAUCAAAAACACAGGUCUCUGCUAAACCGUAAGGUGAUGUAUAGGGGCUGACGCCUGCCCGGUGCUGGAAGGUUAAGAGGAGUGGUUAGCUUCUGCGAAGCUACGAAUCGAAGCCCCAGUAAACGGCGGCCGUAACUAUAACGGUCCUAAGGUAGCGAAAUUCCUUGUCGGGUAAGUUCCGACCCGCACGAAAGGCGUAACGAUUUGGGCACUGUCUCAACGAGAGACUCGGUGAAAUCAUAGUACCUGUGAAGAUGCAGGUUACCCGCGACAGGACGGAAAGACCCCGUGGAGCUUUACUGUAGCCUGAUAUUGAAAUUCGGCACAGCUUGUACAGGAUAGGUAGGAGCCUUUGAAACGUGAGCGCUAGCUUACGUGGAGGCGCUGGUGGGAUACUACCCUAGCUGUGUUGGCUUUCUAACCCGCACCACUUAUCGUGGUGGGAGACAGUGUCA